GAAGAGACUACCUCCUAGAGCAGCGAAUCCCCUCUACCAUAGCUGUUCAGGUAUACAAGCUUCCCCAGACACCUAGGUGGGAAGGGUUUUCUGCCUGGAGGGGCGAGUCCCCUUUAAUCUGACUGCAGCAGUAUAGGGCCUCCCCUAACACCCAGGUGGGAGGGGUCUCCAGCCUGGAUGGGUGAGUCCCCUCUACCCUGGCUGUGGUGGUAUAUGAGCUCCCCUGGACACCCAGGUGGGAGGGGUUUUGGUCUGGAGAGGUGAGUCCCCUCUAAACUGGCUGCAGCGGUAUACAAGAUCCCACAGACACCCAGGUGGGAGGGGUUUCCUGCCUGGUGGUGCGAGUACUCUCUACCCUGGUUGGGGCGGUGUACUAGCUCCUCUGACACCCAGUUGGGAAGUGUCUUCUGCCUGGAGGUGUGAGUCUCCUCUACCCUGCCUGAGGAGGUAUAGGAGUUCCCCCAGACACCCAGGAGGGAGGGGUCUCCCGCCUGGAGGGGCGAAUCCCCUCUGCUCUGCAUGUGGAGGUAUAUGAAUUCCCUCAGACAUUCACGUGAAAGGAGUCUCCCGCCUGGAGGGGACAGUCCCUAUUACAGGGGCUGCAGCUGUAUAGGAGCCCCCCCCCCCCACACACACACUACAAACCCAGGUGGGAGGGGUCUCUUGCCUGAAUGGCAAGUCCACUCUACAUGGGCUGAGGCAGAAUACAAGCUAGCCUGGAUACCAAGGUGGGAGGGGUCUCUCACCUGGAGGAGCCAGUCUGCUCUACUCAGGCUGCAGAGGUAUAAGAGCUCCACAGACAACCAUGUCCCUUUUCAUUCACCCAGGCCCAGGUCCUAGUACUUGGCUCUCCAUUACUGGGCCUGACUCCUUGCUUGAGCCCCUGGCACCCUUCUCGAGGACCCUGUCCCUGUCCCUUGUUUUCAGGCCCCUUUUACCAGCCCUCUCCUGUGACUUCCCUCUGUUCCCCUUAUGCUGAGGUAUCCUGGCACUGCCCAGACCCUCUGCUCCCCCAGCUUCUUUCUAGACUGGGCUCCUCAAUGGGUCCUGACUGCCCACUGACCCCACCCCAAACUCUGAAACCCAAACCACAGGUAUCACCUCUCAGUGCCUGCUUUUGCCCCUCCUAUGGUCCAGGUCCUUCUCUGAGGAUCUACUCACCUGGGCAGAGGAGCAGAAUUGGCUGGCCUCUGCACCCUGAAUGCUCCCAGUGGGAAACACAGCCCUGCCACUCACCUGUGCCCCCUUUUGCUGAGAGCCAUGCGUCAUUCCAAGUAGUUGCUGUUUGAACCUACAAGGCUUUGUGGUGGCUUGGUUAUUCGUGCCCAGCCAGACAGCGGCACUCUUUGCCACCUGAACCUUGAUGCCUGGCAGUUAACAUGUGACUUGCUCCAACCCAGCCCUGAGAGAUCCCCUCCCUUCUCUCCAGUGCCCUCUUGCCUUGCAUGCUGCCCCUACCCCAACCCAGCCUUCACUAACCUUGCUCCGUUGCAUUCCACUCCCAGGGCCUGGCUGCUCACCUGUGCCCCUGACCACUUUCCUCAUGUCCUUUAGCAUAGCAUGGAGUCUCUGUAUUGGGUCUGACCUGGGGGCCUCCUGCUUUUGCCUACCAGUGGGCUUCCCUAGGUGCCCCUUGCACUCUUCUCUGUCUUCUGGUCCUCUUACAACCCCUUCCUUGCAUUCCCCUUGAGAAUUAUCCUGGUGCUUGUGGGUCUCCUUCUCUUUGUGUCUUCCAUGCAUCUCUUUGGGUCUCUCAUCCAUGAUCGGUUGGGUGGGUCCCUUUCCUGGGCUGCUGGCUUGGGUCCUGGGUCUUGCCCCUGUGAGCACCCACCAUGACCCCCCACCUUCUCUCCCAUCACCCUCCUCCUGUCCCCCUUUCCUUUUCAGGCCUCCUUUGCCAGGUCCCUGGCCCUGGAUUCUAAUCUAGGCUAGGGCACCUAAUGGAAAACAGAGCCCUGCCCCUCAGCUGGGCCCCUUGCUCUUUCUGGGUUGUUGGUCCUGCACCCAGAAUCCUGACACCUGACAGUGGCCCUGGGCCUGUACCUGCCUGACCCUGUUGGAUCCCCUGCCUUCCCACCCAAGUCUUGCCACUGUCCUGAGCCCUCUGCCCCAGCCCCAGGCCUUGGCUCUCCAUUCCCUGUCCUGGCUCUUUUCUUGAGCCUCUGAUGCCCCUUGUUGCCCAGAGUGUGCCUGGGUGUUGACUGUGGGCCUCUUGCUUGGGCUGCUUCCCUGCUCCCCUUGGUGUUCCUGCACUGCAGUCCACUAGUGCCACCCGUCUGGCCAAUCCUGUCCUUCCCUGUUCUCCCCUGGUGUGGGCCCUCCUCUAGGUCCUAACCGGGGCUCCUUGCUGGGGUACAGGUCCUACCCAGCACCCAUCCUCUGGCCCUUCUGCUGUGCCCUUCUAUGGACCUCUUUUCGUUCCUGUCCCUGCAAAGCCCCCUUUCCUGAUCCCUUUCCCGGGAUUCACACCCACGCCAGGGGAGUCGACCUGGCCUAUUGGCCCUCCUGGCUCCCUAAGGGAAAAAGUAG
rnacentral:lncRNA from 1 species